ACCUGGAAAAGCCGAAGACCCUCAAUGC
rnacentral:piRNA from 1 species